rnacentral:rRNA from 1 species
CCUACGGGAGGCAGCAGUGGGGAAUAUUGCACAAUGGGGGAAACCCUGAUGCAGCGACGCCGCGUGAGUGAAGAAGUAUUUCGGUAUGUAAAGCUCUAUCAGCAGGAACGAGACAAGACGGUACCUGACUAAGACGCCCCGGCUAACUACGUACCAGCAGCCGCGGUAAUACGUAGGGGGCAAGCGUUAUCCGGAUUUAUUGGGUUUAAAUGGUGCGCAGGCGGAUUUUUACGUCAGCGGUCAAAUCGUGGGGCUCAACCCCUUCCAGCCGUUGAAACUGGGGAUCUAGAGUGUGCGAGAGGUAUGCGGAAUGCGAGGUGUAGCGGUGAAAUGCAUAGAGAUCACGCAGAACCCCGAUUGCGAAGGCAGCAUACCGGUGCACAACUGACGCUCAGGCACGAAAGCGUGGGUAUCGAACAGGAUUAGAUACCCUGGUAGUC